UAGUGGAUAGUGAUGAUCUAUACGACUACUGUGUGCUUGUGUGUCUCUAUCAGGGUGUCCUGCUGUGUGUGUGUCUGCAUCCUGCAUCACACAUAACCAGCAUUCAGGACAGAUUCCCUGAAGCAGUGUGUGUGUGUGUGUGUGCUUGUGUACAAUGUCUGACUUCUGCCCUUCUGUCCUGAGCUGUGAGGUCAUCCGCAGUCACAUGAGAGUAUCUGUCAAUGUGUGAGAGGAAGACUGAAUGCAGGGUAUGUGUGUGUGUGUGAAUGCAGUGUGUGUGUGUGAUCUCUGGUCCGCCUCUUAAACUCUUCAGAUGUUCCGGAUUACUGAGCUAAUCUCCUUGGACAAAAUGUCCUAGUAAUGCAUCUGAUGUGUGUCUGAGUGCAGGAAUAUGUGCGGGAGUGUUUAUGUUUCUACAUGUGUGUGUAUAUGUGUGUGUAUGUGACCAUUGUGUCUAUGUAUGCAGGUGUGUGUGUGUGUGUCUGCGUGUGGUGUGUGUGUGUGUGUGAUUAUUGUGUCUAUGUAUGUGUAACCCACCUUAAAGUUUGGUUACUAAGACCAUAACUUUAGUUUUAGAAUGGUUUGAGUACAAUACAUAUUUAAAUAUAUAAAUAUGAAUAAGUAGCAAGAACAAGAAGCUGAGUUUACAUGAUUAUAUGUAUUUAUUUUUCAUUCUCUUUUUGGUCUGCUUGAAAGUGCACGUAUUUGAAAAGACUUUUAUUGUGGUAUAGUCAUCUCCUAGGUGACGGGGUUUGUUUUUUCACUCGAGACUCCACUUGAAUGAAUUUGAUUAGAUUACGUGAUUCAUAACCCUCUUAAGAAAAAUAAUACUUGUGUAAUAAUCUACCUUUUCUAAAUCUACCUAUCUUAUCGAAUCAUCGUACCCUUCCUUGUACUUAUUUUUCUACGGAUUGUUGAAGACCUGUGUUUUUUAAAUCUCGAACUCCGGCAUUGUAGUCUCGAGCGGCUGCAGCACAUUUGGAGUCCACUUCAACCCCAUCAUCACCACCUCCACACCUCUUGAUGGAACCACAACCCAUCACCACCUCCGUCUCCUCAACACCACUUAUCAUCUUUAGAUGCUCCCCUGGAGGAAGGCGAGGUGGGGGCCCAAGCGGCGGAGGAGGAGGAGGAGGACGUUGGCGAAAAGACAAAAGUGCAAAUCAUGACUCCAACAACAGCAUGACAGAGUGCCCAUGUCCAUGUCCUACCACCUGACCACUGGGCACUCUGUGUUAAACAUAGAGAGACCCAUCCUCCUUAACAUGGCGUCAGGGAGGACCCCUGGACAAG